rnacentral:misc_RNA from 1 species
GAUGAAGAACGCAGCGAAAUGCGAUAAGUAAUGUGAAUUGCAGAAUUCAGUGAAUCAUCGAAUCUUUGAACGCAUCUUGCGCUCCUUGGUAUUCUGAGGAGCAUGCCUGUUUGAGUGUCAUUAAAUUCUCAACUACACUGACUUUGAAUUGGUGUGGCUUGGAUUUGGGGGGAAAAUUGUUGUGGGCUUUUUGUAUAGUCUGCUCCCCUGAAAUUGAUUAGCGGUACCUUUGUGGAACUGUCUACAGGUGUGAUAAUUAUCUACAUCUGCUGGAAUGCUGCUUUCUAAACCUUACUUGUAUUGACAAUCUUGACCUCAAAUCAGGUAGGACUACCCGCUGAACUUAAGCAUAUCAAUAAACGGAGGA